rnacentral:rRNA from 1 species
AUGGCUCAGAUUGAACGCUGGCGGCGUGCUUAACACAUGCAAGUCGCGCGUGAAAGGACUUCGGUCCGAGUAAAGCGGCGCACGGGUGAGUAACGCGUGGAUGAUCUACCCAUGAGUUGGGAAUAACGGCUGGAAACGGUCGCUAAUACCGAAUACGCUCCGAUUUCAACUUCGGGGGAAAGGUGGCCUCUGCUUGCAAGCUACUGCUCAUGGAUGAGUCCGCGUCCCAUUAGCUAGUUGGUGGGGUAACGGCCCACCAAGGCGACGAUGGGUAGCCGGUCUGAGAGGAUGACCGGCCACACUGGGACUGGAACACGGCCCAGACUCCUACGGGAGGCAGCAGUGGGGAAUAUUGCGCAAUGGGCGAAAGCCUGACGCAGCGACGCCGCGUGAGGGAUGAAAGGUCCUCGGAUCGUAAACCUCUGUCAGGAGGGAAGAACCGCCACGGUGCUAAUCAGCCGUGGUCUGACGGUACCUCCAAAGGAAGCACCGGCUAACUCCGUGCCAGCAGCAGC